UAAGAAUAUGGAUCAAGUACGUGACUUGUGUGUGAAUCAACCCGUGGGAGCAAAACUGCAUGUGUUCAGUCCACACGUUGAACUUCAACAAGACGGAAUUUACUGUGGUUCCUCAGGUGAGCCAGCAACCUAUGUUGGGCUUAGAGAUGGGAUCGUUCUUAAAGUUGAGAAGAUCUAUGGAAAGUCCACAUCGCAACAGUGAAGAUAUGGUACAAGCAGAAGUUCAUAUUUCUGAAAGUGGCUUUGAGCAGAAUGUUUUUUCACAACGGUCGUCGCCCAGGGCAGCCGGACAUAGGGCCAACGGUUCUGCUUGUUGACUUUUGUGUCCCACGCCUAUCCAUCGAUUAAGCAUCAUCUGUUAUCUUAAUAAGUAUCUAGGAUACAAUAUGCUACUAGUGGAAGGAUAUGUUUCUGGAGACUUUUUUUAAUAUGUGUAAUGUAAGACCCUUAAGAAGUUGAUCUCUACUUUCUAAAUAUUUUGGAUGAUUGAUUUGUUAUUUAAGUUUCAGCU